rnacentral:misc_RNA from 1 species
AAUUUCUUCUUCGUCUUCCUCUUCUUCAUCAGCAGUGAUUGGCAAACCAAUCGCCUUCUAGGCUGUGUUUUGAGCUUUCUCAAGGAGUCAUGGCAAAGCCUCAUGUCACCCUGGAGGUUGGAAACGACGGCGUUGCUGUCAUCUCCAUGUCCAAUCCUCCCGUUAACGCCUUAGCGCUUCCAAUUAUUACGGGGCUGAAGGAGAAGUUCGAUGAGGCCGCGAGAAGAAACGACGUUCAAGCUAUCGUUUUGACGGGCAAGCAUGGGAAAUUUUCCGGUGGAUUUGAUAUCAGUGUCAUGCAGAAGGUUCACCAGACUGGGGAUGUGUCACUUGUGCCUGAUGUAUCUGUUGAUCUUGUGGUCAACACAAUUGAAGAUUGCAAGAAGCCUGUUGUUGCUGCUGUGGAAGGACUAGCACUAGGAGGUGGCUUAGAACUAGCAAUGGGAUGUCAUGCACGUGUGGUUGCACCUAAAACUCAACUUGGCUUGCCGGAGUUGACACUUGGAAUAAUUCCUGGGUUUGGAGGUACACAACGUCUUCCAAGGCUUAUAGGACUGUCAAAGGCCAUUGAAAUGAUGCUGUCAUCCAAACCAAUCACAUCUGAAGAAGGGAUGAAGCUUGGUCUUGUUGAUGUUAUUGUGUCUUCUCAAGAACUGCUGAAAGUAUCUCGGCAAUGGGCUUUAGACAUCAAAGCGCGGCACAAACCAUGGAUGCGUUCUCUUUACAGGACAGAUAAGAUUGGCUCCCUGUCUGAGGCACGCAAGUUAUUGAAAGCUGCCAGACAACAGGCCAAGAAGACUGCCCCAAAUUUGCCUCAGCAUCAGGCAUGCCUUGAUGUGAUUGAAGAAGGUGUUGUUCGUGGAGGAUAUAAUGGAGUUCUAAAGGAAGCAAAAGUAUUCAAGGAGUUAGUCAUAUCAGACACAUCAAAAGGUCUUAUUCAUGUCUUUUUUGCUCAGCGUGCGACAUCGAAGGUGCCUAAUGUUACUAAUGUUGGGCUCAAAUCUAGGCAAAUAAAGAAGGUGGCUGUCAUUGGUGGAGGUCUAAUGGGUUCUGGCAUAGCUACUGCUCUUAUUAUGAGCAACAUAUAUGUUGUACUGAAAGAAAUAAACUCUGAAUAUCUUCUGAAAGGAAUAAAGAUGAUAGAAGCAAAUGUUCGAGGCUUAGUAACAAGAGGAAAGUUGUUACAGGAUAAGGCAGACAAAGCCCUUUCAAUGCUCAAAGGUGUAUUGGAUUACUCAGAAUUCAGAGAUGUUGAUAUGGUCAUAGAGGCAGUUAUUGAAAGUAUUCCUCUGAAACAAAAAAUUUUUAUUGAAAUUGAGAAGGCCUGCCCUCCUCACUGCAUCUUGGCAACAAAUACAUCUACCAUUGACCUCAAUAUAAUUGCAGAAAAGACCAGCGCUCAAGAUCGUGUUAUAGGUGCACACUUUUUCAGUCCUGCUCACAUAAUGCCUCUUCUGGAGAUUGUACGCACGGACAAGACUUCUGCGCAAGUAAUUCUUGAUCUCAUGACGGUUGGGAAAUCUAUAAAGAAAGUUCCUGUUGUGGUGGGUAACUGCACUGGCUUUGCAGUCAACCGCACUUUCUUCCCCUAUACACAAGGUGCACAUAUUCUGGUCAAUUUAGGUGUCGACGUGUUCAGAAUUGACAGGGUGAUCAGC